UGACGAAGCGACGCCGCGUGUGGGAAGAAGGCCUUCGGGUUGUAAACCACUGUCGGGAGUUAAGAAAGGUAAGGGUGUGAAGAGCAUCCUUAUUUGACGAAGGCUCCGGAGGAAGCCACGGCUAACUCUGUGCCAGCAGCCGCGGUAAUACAGGGGUGGCAAGCGUUGUUCGGAAUUAUUGGGCGUAAAGCACAUGUAGGCGGCCUUGCAAGUCAACUGUGAAAUCCUUCUGCUCAACGGAAGAACGGCAGUUGAUACUACAAGGCUUGAGUGCGGGAGGGGAGAGUGGAACUUCUGGUGGAGCGGUGAAAUGCGUAGAUAUCAGAAGGAACACCGGCGGCGAAAGCGACUCUCUGGUCCGUAACUGACGCUGAGGUGCGAAAGCUAGGGGAGCAAACGGGAUUAGAUACCCCGGUAGUCCUAGCCGUAAACGAU
rnacentral:rRNA from 1 species